rnacentral:rRNA from 1 species
CCUACGGGUGGCAGCAGUGAGGAAUAUUGGUCAAUGGGCGUAAGCCUGAACCAGCCAAGUCGCGUGAGGGAUGAAGGUUCUAUGGAUCGUAAACCUCUUUUAUAAGGGAAUAAAGUGUGGGACGUGUCCUGUUUUGUAUGUACCUUAUGAAUAAGGAUCGGCUAACUCCGUGCCAGCAGCCGCGGUAAUACGGAGGAUCCGAGCGUUAUCCGGAUUUAUUGGGUUUAAAGGGUGCGUAGGCGGCCUUUUAAGUCAGCGGUGAAAGUCUGUGGCUCAACCAUAGAAUUGCCGUUGAAACUGGGAGGCUUGAGUAUGUUUGAGGCAGGCGGAAGUCGUGGUGUAGCGGUGAAAUGCUUAGAUAUCACGCAGAACCCCGAUUGCGAAGGCGGCCUGCCAGGCCAUGACUGACGCUGAUGCACGAAGGCGUGGGGAUCAAACGGGAUUAGAUACCCCUGUAGUC